AGUAGUGAAGUGAUCUGGCUUUGACAUCUGUCAUUCCUUUGUCAGCAGAGUUGAUUAAUGCACUUGGCUAUUGGAGAAGGUGGCACCUUCCUUGCUCACUGCUCUAUGUGUGGUCUUUCUCAAGCCAUGUGCUAAGGCAAAGAAGUUGACCUUCUAAGCUCUGUCUGUACUCCUCCAUUGGUCAAGGGUAUCUGAAUAGCUGAGCUACUUUAGUAGAAAUUCUGAAUAUGGAAUUGCAUUUUUUUUAUAGCUGGAAAGAGACUCAAACAUGCAGAGCAUGCUGUCAUAGAGAAGCCAGCAAUGAAAUGUCUUGGUUUGAGCCACAGCAAGAGUUU
ensembl:misc_RNA 7SK 7SK RNA